CCGCCCAAUAUUCUUGAGAUGGAUUCGUGCCUUCUUGCAGCGAAACUUAAUGACAGGUGGUGCAUGGCUGUCGUCAGCUCGUGUCGUGAGAUGUUGGGUUAACUCCCGCAACGAGCGCCACCCCUAUUGUAUGUUGCUACCAUUAAGUUGAGCACUCAUGCCAUACUGCCUGCGAUGAGCAGAAGGAAGGUGGGAAUGACAUCAAUCCUUCCUGCCACUUAUAGGCUGAGCUACACACUAGCUACAAUGGGAAAAACAGAAAGUUGCCCACCCGAGAGGGUGAGCUAAUCUCUUAAAGCUGCUCUUAGUUCGGAUUGUACUCUGUCACUCAAGUACAUGAAGAUGGAAUCGCUAGUAAUCGCAAAUCAACAUGUUGGAAUGAAUACCUUCUCGGGUCUUGUACACACCGA
rnacentral:rRNA from 1 species